UCAGAAAGUUGGGGCCCAAGUUAAAGGUGGAGUCAAGUAUACACAUUAAUUUAUGCCAAAUCAAAUUUUUUGUAGAUAUUUUUCUAGCAGAAAGAAAAUAAAUAGGAGAAUUUGGAAUGUUUCUAAGUCCCCAGUUCCUUUUUGACUUUUAUUACAUUACAUUUUGACCCAUUUUUAUAAAUAUACAUGAGCACACAUCACACAAGCCUUGUAAGUUUUGCAAAGUAAGUAUUACAAUUUCUGAUCUAUUUCUGUGGUAGAUAUUUUUGAUAGUAUUAUACAAGAACUGAGUACUUACCAAUGACCUUAGGCAUCUUGGCAAAAUACAUGGAAAAGUCAGCUGCAAGGUUGGUUUCUUGUUUAUUUAUUCAGUCUUUCUAGUAUUUUGAUCUCUUAUUACUUUCUCUCAAGCUAUUUUCUAGUCCUAGACCAAUGUUCAAAUGUGAGCCCUUGUAAAUUCAAUGGGUUUUAUAUAUAUAUAAGAAAAAUUUGAUCCUGAGUUUCCACAUUCUGGGAGAGACAAAUACUAAUUUUAUGUAACUGACAUUGAAAUUUCAAAAAAAAAAAAAAGUCUAUUUUUAAUUGAAAACCUCAAGGUAAAACAUGUCUAAUUUUUUAGAUAAUAAAAAUGUUGUUCUCAUGUGAGAGAACUCCUUCUUUGGACUUAGUUUGAAAAACAAAACAAUUAGAGAAGAGAGGAAAUUUGGUCAUUUCAGUAACUUUAUCAAGUAGUGACAAAAUGGAACCUUAUAGUGUGGGAAGCGACACUGAACAGCAACGUCAAAUCUGUUCCUUUUACUGCUAAUGAAGAUACUCUGACUCUUAAUGUCUGGAUUUUCUCAUCUGGAUUGGAUUUUGCUAGUUAUUUUUUUGUUAUUGCUCCUUUCAGUUCCUAUGUUCUCCAAUUCCCAAUAAGAUUUUCUUACUUGGUAUCAAUAAUCAAUACCAUAGAUGCUCAGUUAAUCAAUGUCCAUUUCACUAGAGUAACCACGCUGCCCACUCCCUCAAUAAAAACCUGCUGGACUGUGCCCAUCACAGAAGAAUACGGGCAGCCGGAAGACUACUCUAGUACACCCAAGCAUUUCUGCCCCCAUCAGUUGACUUUUAUGUUGAUCGAGAGUCAGCUAAUUUUGUUCUCAAAUCUAUUUAUGCCAACGGUGUUUGUUAUUGAAAUUUCAUAAUUUAUUAAAUAGUAUGAAAACCAAAGAGAUAUGAGUGUGAAAAGAAAGAUAAUUGUGUCCACAAAAACUAAUCUAAAUUUUGAAUAGAGUCUGUGUGCAGGGGGGAGUUGUGUAAUAUAAUAAGACAUUAUAAAAUAUUAGAAAAUACUCAGAAAUAUAUAGAGAAGUCAAUUUUCUUGUUUCUUCAUGCUAAACCUAUUUUUUAAUUCCACUUGAAAGAAACUGAAACUGGAGGUCAAAGAUGAUGCUUUAUGCAAGGAAGUAACAGCCGUACAGACAAUAAGCAAAAGUUCUACAGCAAAAGAUAGAUUCACUAGAAGUUCUUGGUGACAGAUUCCUGGACCCCACUCCAGAAAACCUACAGACAAUCAGUAUUUUAACCAACUUCCAAGGUGAAACUACUGGACGCUAAAGUUUGAGAACCAUUGUCGUAUUAACACACAGUGAAGUUUGCAUGUACCUGGUUAAGUGGACUUUGGGAUUUCAUUAUCUACUUCACAGAAUGGUCAGAUGUGUGCGAUUAAAAGGUUUAGAAGCCACUGAUUUGGACAAUGAUGUAUCAGUUCAGCCUUCCUACUGGACUAGUUUGGAUUUUAUCUCUGACAUUUCCUUUGACUGAACUUCCUUCAACCUGCUGAAGUCUUGGUACAGCGACAUGAAUAGCAAUAACUCCUCUCCAUGAACCUUUGUAUAAAUAUUUAUUGUUACAUACUUGUUUGUAUAUUUUAUAUUUGUCCCCAGUGGCAUUGUCUAUCAUUAAUGCUGGAUAUUUAAAUACUAAGGAUAUUACUGAUUAAAUUUGCUUUUUCUUGUGCAGUAGUCCCCCCUUAC